CUUUAUCGCGGUCACUUGCAUCCGUCUCUUCGUAUUAUUAGCAUUAAAAGAAAAAGAAAAAUAGGUUAAUUGCGAAAGAACGUUUCUUAUUCAGGAGUUAUAAAAGACGGUCUUUUGCACACGUGUUGCCUUUUGGGCGUUCAUCUCUUUGAGAAGAGAGAGAGAGUUGAAGCAAUCUCAUCGAUGUUCAUCUUUGCGUUUCUUGUAGGAUCCUGAAUCAAUUGAAGAUCAAAUCCUUGUGUUGUUUUCUUGUUGUCUGGUUGAUAUGAACGUGACCGGUGGUUCAAGGAAGUGCUCUCCCCCAUCCCUUCGCAGCAUAAGAUCGCCCUGCUCCAAUUCUUCCCCAGCUCUCAUAGAACAGAGAGGAUCAUUAGAAGCAUAGACAAGAGGAUCUCUGACGCUCCCUUCACAGAUGCUUCUCCCCCAAUUCCAGAAUCAAAGGUGAGGAAGCACACGAUCUCGGCGUUCAUUAGAGACGAGAGCGGGAUGAUUAAUAGGAUUGCAGGAGUCUUUGCGAGGAGAGGAUACAAUGUCGAGUCUCUUGUGUUUGGUCUCAACAGAAACAAGGCUUUGUUCACCAUUGUUGUCUCUGAAACUGAAAGGGUGCUUCAGCAGGUCAUUUAGCAGCUUCAUAAGCUUGUUAAUGUUCUCAAGGUUGAAGAUAUCUCGAAUGAGCCGCAAGUGGAGCGUGAGUUGAUUAGGUUGAAGAUAUCUAUGCCAAGCUUUAGCUUUUUUAGUCCGAGUCCAGCAACGACACAGAACAACAACGUUCAUGAAAAACUUCGAGUGUUGUUUGCCAAGGAGAGAAAGUCCAUAGAGAAUUUAAGUUCCAGCGAUAGCUUGUGUGGAUGAUCCAUAAAGAUUCAAAGCAAGAAGAAAGUGAAAAAGAAUACAAAAAGAGAAGCAGAGUCUUGUACACUAGAUCCAUCUUGUUAUGUGGCUAAUGUCACGCCUUCAAGCCUGCGAUAUGACAUGCUGGUAUCUACUCCUCAUUUUUUAACCAAAAGCUCUCAUUUAAAGGGUCUGAUUUUGAUCAAAACCGUGCUCUAUUGUAAUGAAUUUCCAGUAUAUUCCAAAGAGUUUUGCAAGAGCUAAUGGUUUAGAGACAAGAUGUGGAGAGAUUGUUCUUAUGAAUGAAAAGGGUACUUCAUGAAUUUUGAAUUUUUCUCAAAAACUUAUAAUUAAGAGACUUGCAAUAAAGCACAUGAAUGUUCAAAUC